UUGCAGGAUAACCACAAGUAUUUUAAAUCACGUUAUUAUCCGUCUGGUGAGAGAUGGUGGUUUGACUUGAACGAUGGAUCUGGGACACCAAAACUCCAUGUUGGGCUAACGAAAAAUUUGCAGUAUUCUGAUGUAAGUUCAAUAUUCAUGCAAUAGAGAGAUCUAAAUUAAUUCGACCUUUGUAUUUAUUCAUACUAAUUGAACUUUGUAUAUGUUGAUUUUUCUUAUUUAGACUAUCAAAACUUCAUUUAGAUUUCCUUAUUAUGGACAUGUAAUCAAUAAAGUUACUAUUACUAAUAAGGGUAAGAUAGUAAUAGAUACAAUCGUUCGUUUUGUAUAGCAUGCUAUUACUGUACAAUUUUCGCUUUUGUUUUGACUCCAGCAACUUCGUUAUAGACAGUAUAGAUAAGAAGCAGCACAUGCCUACACUUAGGAGGG